GACUAUCUUUACUCUCAAUUCUCUCUCAACUCAACUUUCAUCAGCUCUUUCUUCGUCAAAUUUCAAUCCCGCAAUGUUGCAGACGCAGAACCAAUUUGAAACUAGCGGUGGUGAAACUGCUGCUGUUGCAAGUUCAUUAUCCAUGUGAACAGAAAUGGUGAAAUAAUGUGCGUUUUGCUAAAUAUGGAGGAGUUGAUUCUAAAAUGGCUGAAAAAUCACAUUCACAUGCUGUUGUUCUGGUAUGCCUUCCGCUUUACUUAGUCAGUAUGAAUGUUUAAGCGGAGAGUUUCAGAAAGUGCCUUAAUUGUAAUUACUAUGAAUCUGGAAUAGUUUGAAUUAAGUUAGGAGGAGAUGUUCCAAGUCAAUGAUUACAAAGGAGAGAACGUUGUGAUAGAGUACAAAUAUAGAUUUUAAAAGAUCUCAUAACUUAAAGAACUGAUUGCCUAUGCUCUUUAAAUGUUUUUGUUUCA